CAAGAAGGACAUUCAGAGAAUUUCAGGAUAUAUUAUUUUUGAUGGAGUCCAAAAAGAACAACUCUGAGGCAAUAUAGUUCCAGACCUGAAGCAGGUGUCUUCACGUCACAUUUCUCAACUUUGUUAUUUGGUUGAGGAAACCAAAGAAACCCAAUAAUGGAGCUGGAGCUUAGCUAUUAGCUGAGUUUGUCUGCCAGAAAGGCAGGUGUUUCGAACCAGCCCCUGAUUGCUGACUGCUGUAUUAGGUAAGCUUAUGAAACAUCAA
rnacentral:lncRNA from 1 species